AUAUACAUAUGGAUAGCAGAGUGGAAAAUCUUUGUAACGAAUGUGUAUGUCAAAACGAUUAGAACGAAGAGUUUUUUAAAAAUGGAAAACAUAUGAGUAUAGGUAACUAUUAAAGAAUUCGCCUAGGAAAUACUUACAUCACGCCCCAAAAAGCUAUUAAAAAAAUAAAACCGAGUUUUCACAGAUGUUUUAAAACACACCUAAAAGGUAGGAUUGAAAUUAGAAGCGUUUAGGGCUCCAAU